CCCUUAGAUGUCCGGGGCCGCACGCGCGCUACACUGAAGGAAUCAGCGUGGCUUUCUCCCUGACCCGAAAGGGUUGGGAAACCCGUUGAAUCUCCUUCGUGAUAGGGAUUGGGGCUUGAAAUUGUUCCCCAUGAACGAGGAAUUCCCAGUAAGCGCGAGUCAUAAGCUCGCGUUGAUUACGUCCCUGCCCUUUGUACACACCGCCCGUCGCUACUACCGAUUGAACGGUUUAGUGAGGGCCUCGGAUUGGUCUCGGCCCGCUCUUCACCGGGCGGCGCCGUUGGUCGAGAAGACGCUCGAACUUGAUCGUUUGGAGGAAGUAAAAGUCGUAACA
rnacentral:rRNA from 1 species